CCCAUAUUGGCAGUGACUGAAAUAACAUUUCCCAGUUUUCUGCUUGCUUUUCUUAUCUCCAGUUUCUAAAUCACUUGGAUCUUUAAAGCUUCUCUUCUGCACAGUCUGACUUAUAUCUGAGCAUCAAAGUGACAUGAGUUCAUCAAAGAGUAUUUUUUUAGCCCUUGAUGUCACCUCCUACUAAGGCCUUAGAAGAUCUGGUUCCACUAUAAGAUUGGAAGCAAACUGGAGAGAAUGGAAGAAGCUAUUCUUCUAGAAGGGAGGUUAGUGACAUCAUUAUACACUCAAGCCAGAAAUCUCUCCAACUUUUUCAUGCUACUCAUUCAAGCAACCAGACAUCAGGUUCCACUACUAUCUUCUUCAGAAAAGCUUUCCAGAUCAAAGCAGAAGCCCAACUCUCUUCUGCUGCGUUUCAACAGGGACUGCUUACGUCCAGAUCAUCCCAGAGGAUUCCUGUGUUAGCUCUAUCAGUUCUACCUUCCUUGAGAACUGCUACAUAGCUACCAUUCAAUAAAAUAAAUCUCAGCGUAUAACCUUACUUCUCGACACU
rnacentral:lncRNA from 1 species